ensembl:lncRNA
UUAUACACACAUCUUUUUAAGUUUUAUUUAUACUUCUUAGUUCAAGAAUUACACACUAGUCAACAUUAUUAUAUAUUUACAUGCUGAAACUGGCUGUAAUAAGUUUAAAUUCAAGAAAAUAAUUCUUAUGUGCUACUCAUUUAUAAUCCUCAUUUGUUACUAUCUCAUGUAUCCCAGAGAUUGUAGUAGUCCUGUUUUAGAAAGACAUGAAAAUAGAUGCAAUGAUAUCCACUUGUAUUUUGCAUUUUCUAGCCAUUGGAAAAUGUGCAUUAUGUGCAUAUUAAGAAAGGCUACAAGGUAAUUAGUAAGGCUGAAAAUCACUACAUUGUGAAGAAACUAGAAUAUCACUUGUUAGAAAAGGACAAUUCAGAACUGUGCAGGGACAAUAUUUAAAAUGGAACUAUUUAAACACCCAUGCAAAUAAAAACUUUAAAAUGUCAUGGAAUUUAAAUUAUUUUCAACACUGUUUGAAUUAAUACACUUAAAAUGACCAUUGAACACAAAUUAUUGAAAUAAAAAGAGAAAGAUACAAGCUGAUGGAACUGUCAACUUGCUUCAGAUGGUGCCAGGACACAGAUAUGGGCAUCAGAAUAAUGACACGUGACAAGAGAGAGAGAUUUGGCUUUCAAGUUAAAAAAAACACAAGUUUUUGUUUUUGUUCAUUUUGGAUCACAUUUAACUUUAUCACAAAACAAAUUCUCAAAGCAAAUUAAAAUCUGAUAUUAGCAUUUUGCACACAUCUAUAUAUCUACAGAAAUGUUUUACUUCAACUUUCAAAUAACUAAUAGAUGUUUAAUAUUUUUUUCCCUUAAAUUAUUUCCUUAGGGCAGUAUCUUAAUUAGCAUUCUGUUGGGUCCUUACUACUUUUUUUACAAUGUCCCUCGUAUAUUUGGAAAAUAUUUUUUAAACCUUUGGUGUGAAGCAGUGUCUUUUUUUCUCCUAUUUUCCCUCACUUUUCCAUUUUUCUUUCUUUUUUUAAAAUAAUUAUGGAGUCUUUGGUUAAAAGGAAAAAUGCUAUCUAACGACAAAUGCUAUUAUUAAAAAAAAAAGUCUUCUCUAUGUGCUAUUGUGUAACAUAUAUCUGGAGCAGGUAUAUAAUAAGCAUUUGUUUUUCCUGUAGUGCCAUCAAUAUAAACUUUUAGUCUUUGAAAAUUGAGAUUUAAGUUAUGAACUUUGGUUUCUUAAACUCUUAUGUAUAAAAAGAUCUAUCAAGUAAUCAAUGAUCAUUUCUGCUUUUCCCAUUUCUAAGUUGCCAUUUCUAAGGCUAUCUCUUGGUUGUUAUAAACACUACAGUGUUUCCCAUAGAUGGGGUAUGAGUGGGAGUGGCAAGAAAAAGUGUGUGUGUGUGUGUGUGUGAGAGAGAGCGAAUUAAAACCCUUCUGUCUGGGAUCCCAAAGCAUUUAUGCAAAAGAGUGUUUUAAUUUCUCUGCUGGGGCUGCAGUAACUAUUUUUACUUAGUAAAAAUUAAAUAAAAACUAAAAAAGAAAAAAACUAAACAAUGAUUUGUAUCUAUUGAC